rnacentral:lncRNA from 1 species
GAGUGAACAAAGGGCGGUCCACUUCCUCCAGCCCCACAAGAAGCCCAGCCGGCGCCCAGCUUCAGCCUUGCACUCGCGGCCUCCUGAUCUUCGCUCCGGCUGGUGGGUGGGUCCGACCGCCACUGUGUGCCUCUGGUCCUUCCUUUGCGCCUGACACGCGGCGCCAGGCGUGGGCCAGGCCUUCUUCCUUUCCUCUAGGCGCCUCCGCCUGCCUGCCGGAUUCCAGCUCCAACUCGGCUUCCCCGCCUCCUACCCAUGCGCAGCCCCACUUGGCUCUGCCACUCUAUCUCCAGGCUGCCAUUUCCCUUCCCCCAAUUCCUUUCCUUCUCUGCAGAGGGAAGGAAAACUAGAUGAGAAUUGGAAGCUUGUCUUUCAGAUUUACCUGGACCUGCACUUACUCCAGACUCCGCUCUAAUUCCACUUCCUCUCCACAGCCAGGGCUGAGAGGGGCAACCCUGCAUCCUGAGUCAGGAAGGAGCCCUGGUUUUUCGAGGGAAGAGCAGCAAGGGACUGUUGACUACUCCCAUGGACCAGAAAUGAGCCCUCUUGGAUGCCUCAUACCAGGAGCUUUAACGUACAAUCUUUUGGGGUAACGAAGUAUUCCACUUUACAGGUGAGGAAUGAAGAAGCAAUUCACUGUGUAGUGGUAGAGCCUAUUUGAACACAGGCCUGGACACAAAAUCCUAGCCUGAGCCGGGUGGGGGAAUGCUGCUGCUUGAGUACACUGUGGGCCUCUUUCAGGACCCCAAGGACCCCCUACCCUCAGCAAGCCCAAGGCAUGGGACAUACACUUAGCUCUGGGGCCCACAGUCUGCCUGGGCCCCAAGCUGAGAGGAUGCCAGACCACAAGCCUCCCCCCACCCCCACCCCACGGCCUGCCUUUUCCCCCAGAUGGCUCCUGUCUGACUCUAUGGCUGCCUUCAGCCAUGUGCCACUUGGUGCCCGUGCCAGUCCUUUUCUCCUGGGCUUGCGUUCCAGAACAGACAAUGGCAGGAACAAUAGCUCUGCCCGCCCCCUCGACAACCCCGCCAUGAGGCUGCCAUGACGACGGCAGCCCAGAUAAAAACACGAUGCUGCCAGUCACUGGCAGUUAAUUAAAUCUGUUGUUCUCCUUUUCUAAGCCCUCAGGAACAGGAAUGUUCUGAGGAACUGGCACUAACUAGAGGUCCCCCUGGUCCGCAGAGCAGGAACAGCUCUGGGUCAGAAAAGGCACUUUUGGGGUUGGAACUAACUGGGCUUAGCUAAAUUAGGGAUAUCUGUCAAGAGCCAGGCCCAAUUACCCAGGCCAAUAGUCCCAGCUACUCAGGAGGCUGAGACAGGAGGACUGCUUGAGCCCAGGAGUUUGGGGCCAACCUAGGCAACAUAG